AUCGAGUGAAGCAACGUGGCGCCGCUGUAGAAACUUGUCAGUAGAACAAGUCGACCUAAUGUCCGACCAUGAAGGUGCCUUGUCCGUUCGCAGAUGCUGCACUUUGUCUCCGUCGCUUGGCUACCACGUAUUUACAAGUUGUUAACGACCAACGAUCCACCAAAAUUUGUUCGUUAUCUCCAUGAUCGACACGGUUCGAAGAGAUAAUGGUGUGGAGGGACGUGAGCAAACAAGGAAAGGAAGGACAAAAGGGAGGAAAACACGAAGACUCAGCAAACGAAGGAUAUCCAAGCGAACUUUGUUCACGCAGCAGACGCAAAUACAUUCUUGUGAUUGGGAGAGUGGCUGGCAAACGGGUAAAGUGGACAAUGUUAUGAGUUUUUAAGUCCGCAGGGAACUAUGCCGCAACUUCCCGACUGGUACAAGCAACGUUUAAAUACAUGAUACGAAGUUUGUUUCUGAAUCCUCGGACAUGGAGAUUAAGCACAAAGUUGCAGAAUUUGGAUGUUGUAACGAACAUUUGAUGGUAAAAUUUAUCCCUUAUCGAAGAACGAUGAAAAAAUUAUACAG
rnacentral:misc_RNA from 1 species